CUAUCAGCGGGGGAUAACUAUUGGAAACGAUAGCUAAUACCGCGUAACAAUGUUGGAUGCAUAUUCGACAUUUGAAAGUACCAACUGGUACACUGAGAGAUGGACCCGCGUUGUAUUAGCUAGUUGGUAGUGUAAUGGACUACCAAGGCGAUGAUACAUAGCCGACCUGAGAGGGUGAUCGGCCACAUUGGGACUGAGACACGGCCCAAACUCCUACGGGAGGCAGCAGUAGGGAAUCUUCGGCAAUGGACGGAAGUCUGACCGAGCAACGCCGCGUGAGUGAAGAAGGUUUUCGGAUCGUAAAGCUCUGUUGUUAGAGAAGAACGUUGGUAGGAGUGGAAAAUCUACCAAGUGACGGUAACUAACCAGAAAGGGACGGCUAACUACGUGCCAGCAGCCGCGGUAAUACGUAGGUCCCGAGCGUUGUCCGGAUUUAUUGGGCGUAAAGCGAGCGCAGGCGGUUCUUUAAGUCUGAAGUUAAAGGCAGUGGCUUAACCAUUGUACGCUUUGGAAACUGGAGGACUUGAGUGCAGAAGGGGAGAGUGGAAUUCCAUGUGUAGCGGUGAAAUGCGUAGAUAUAUGGAGGAACACCGGUGGCGAAAGCGGCUCUCUGGUCUGUAACUGACGCUGAGGCUCGAAAGCGUGGGGAGCAAACA
rnacentral:rRNA from 1 species